rnacentral:rRNA from 1 species
UACGAAGGGGGCGAGCGUUGUUCGGAUUUACUGGGCGUAAAGGGCGCGUAGGCGGCGCGGUAAGUCACUUGUGAAAUCUCUGAGCUUAACUCAGAACGGCCAAGUGAUACUGCAGUGCUAGAGUGUGGAAGGGGCAAUCGGAAUUCUUGGUGUAGCGGUGAAAUGCGUAGAUAUCAAGAGGAACACCUGAGGUGAAGACGGGUUGCUGGGCCAACACUGACGCUGAGGCGCGAAAGCCAGGGGAGCAAACGGG